GCAUUAAUUGGAAAAACUCUGAAAAAAUUGCUCCAGUUUCUCUCUCUCAUUUUCUCUCGUCUCUUUCAUUGUUUCAAGUCUAAGCUCCUCAAGGUUAGCCAUGGCAGUCAUGUUAUCAUGGUAUCAGAGCUUUGGCUCUUGAUCCUGUGCUGGCCUUACCUAUUGUAAUUGUAUGUUUCAGUUCGCUUCCGCAUCUUCUCAAGCUCGUUGUGAUUUUGUGAGCUGAAUCCCUAACCUUUUAGGCUACUUCAUCUCUUUGCAAAUCACGCUCUUGAGAUUCCAGUCAAGUUUGUGACAAAAUGGCUAUCUCUCAGUCUGAUAUUAACUCACUUCUGAGUAUGAUCACUGUGAAGUUGAGUGAAAACAACUUUGUCAAAUGGAGCUUUCAAUUUCAAUCUGUCCUGGAAGGCAAUGAUAUGUUUAGCUACUUUGAUGGUAGCUAUCCUUGUCCACCUCGGUUUGCUUUGACUGAGGAAGGAUCUAUGACUAGUGAGGUUACUCAUGCGUAUAAACAAUGGAAGAAGAUUGAUAAGGCUCUUCUCGGCUUACUCAUGGACACUCUUGACGAGUCUUGUAAUUGAGUUUUGGUAUGGAGUAUGAUACUCUUCCUAACCUUUUUAUGAUAGGUUUAAUGAGGCCACUAUAUACUCUUUGAUGUAGUUCUUUUCAAUGAUGAAUGAAUUCUCGUUCGAUCAAAAAAAUAAUAAUAAGAAAACUUAAGGUUAUGUUGCUA